GAACUAGAAGAGGAGGAGGAGGAGGAGGAGGAGGAGGAGUUUGGAUUUGAUAUUCCGCUUUAUCACUACCCGAAGGAGUCUCAAAGCGGCUAACAUUCUCCUUUCCCUUCCUCCCCCACAACAAACACUCUGUGAGGUGAGUGGGGCUGAGAGACUUCAAGAAGUGUGCCUAGCCCAAGGUCACCCAGCAGCUGCGUGUGGAGGAGCGGGGAAGCGAACCCGGUUCACCAGAUUAUGAGUC